rnacentral:misc_RNA from 1 species
UGAAGAACGUAGUGAAAUGCGAUAAGUAGUGUGAAUUGCAGAAUUCAGUGAAUCAUCGAAUCUUUGAACGCACAUUGCGCCCCUUGGUAUUCCAUGGGGCAUGCCUGUUCGAGCGUCAUUUGUACCUUCAAGCUCUGCUUGGUGUUGGGUGUUUGUCUCGCCUCUGCGUGUAGACUCGCCUCAAAACAAUUGGCAGCCGGCGUAUUGAUUUCGGAGCGCAGUACAUCUCGCGCUUUGCACUCAUAACGACGACGUCCAAAAGUACAUUUUUACACUCUUGACCUCGGAUCAGGUAGGGAUACCCGCUGAACUUAAGCAUAUCAAUAAGCGGAGGA